AAUCAACGCUGGCGGCGUGCCUAACACAUGCAAGUCGAACGCGAAAGCCCUUUCGGGGGUAAGUAGAGUGGCGUCCGGGUGAGUAACACGUAGGUAAUCUACCUUCGGGUGGGGAAUAACUCGCCGAAAGGCGAGCUAAUACCGCAUAAUGCAGCGGCACCUAAUGGUGAUUAGUUGUUAAAGCGGGGGAUCGUAAGACCUCGCGCCUGAAGAGGAGCCUGCGGCAGAUUAGCAGUUGGUGAGGUAAUGGCUCACCAAGGCUUCGAUCUGUAGCUGGU
rnacentral:rRNA from 1 species